UAACCACUCAAGCCUCGGCUUGGUCUUGGGGUUCGCGGUCUUGCGGCUCUUAAAAUCAGUGGCGGUGCCGUCUGGCUCUAAGCGUAGUAAUUCUCUCGCUAUAGAGUCCCGGUGGUUGCUUGCCAAAACCCUAAUUUUUUAC
rnacentral:misc_RNA from 1 species